rnacentral:rRNA from 1 species
CGUUGAGGCGGUUCCGUAAGUUGGACGUGAAAGCCCCGAGCUCAACUCGGGGAGGCCGUUCAAUACUGCGGGACUUGAGGGCAGCAGAGGGAGGUGGAAUUCCCGGUGUAGUGGUGAAAUGCGUAGAUAUCGGGAGGAACACCAGUGGCGAAGGCGGCCUCCUGGGCUGUUCCUGACGCUGAAGGCGAAAGCUAGGGUAGCGAACG